AAGGGCUGUGAAUUCAAGUCUGAUUUUAAGAUGGAGAUGCACAGGAGGACCUGGAGGACACCCACCCACAAAUAAUUGCCCACCGAGACACUGGAUUGAAGACCGGUCCCACAAGAUGUCCGCUUCUCCACGUUGUUGGGAUCGUUGAGCCAGAGCUGCAUGCGGACGAACGGCUCCCGGCCCUUCAGGCUCAGCUUGUGCCAGGGCUUGGGGCGAGCGAGGAGGUCGGAGACCGAGCCUUGCGUCAGUCCCAGGAUCGUCUCCCCAAACAGACGCUGACCUGCAAAGAAACCCAUAUUGCAAAUGCCAUUGACAAAAUGUAACACUCAUUACAUGGCUGCCUAUCUCCUUCCUCAUGUCUUCCUGAUCCGUAGCAGACUUGUUUUCCACCCAUGAGAUUCUGUGAAACCACCACAUGGACCUCCAUGCGGAAAGGCCACUGCAUGGAAAUCCAAGAUACAACUGGUCUAAAAAUGAGCAUCUAUGUUUUGAGCCCCUUUGCAUGCUCUAACUGAAAAGUGGGAUCUAAGUAAAUAAAUGGA